rnacentral:piRNA from 1 species
UGUAAAAUCAACCUCCAAUAAACUCCAGGC